CAACCCAGAGUUCCAGGGGCAUCAUGGGAGGGAGGCCAACCUGGAGCCCUGGAGCAUCAUGGGAGGGAGGCCAAUCUGGAGCCCUGGGGCAUCAUGGGAGAAAGGUGGCCCAAGGGCAUCAUGGGAGGGAGGCCAACCCCGAGCUCCAGAGCAUCAUGGGAGGGAGGCCAACUCCACAGCCCAAGGGUGUCACCGGAGGGAGGCUGCCAGGGGCCCUACAGCAGGCCACCAGGGUGGGCCGUGAGGGGAGGCUGGGCCUCAGCCUCCGCCGGACGAGGCUGCAGCCGUCCCCGUGCACCUCGCUCAGGGCAGGGAGGCUGGGGGCAAGGCUGGGCACUAUUGGGGAACCGUAUGCAAAAACAAAAAGCAGAAGAGGGCCCCUUUGCAAGCUAUAAAAUCCUGUGGUUUAUAUAUUUACACAGCUGUGUUUUUAAUAAUCAGUGUGUCUUAAAGUGUAGUUUUAAAAGUAUCUUUUUUUUUCUUUUGAAAAUGUUGCAGGUACUUUUGGUCUUUAAUGCUCCAUGCACCUAGUCAUUAAUCUUGAUAGUACCUCUGCAUUUUUAUACCAACUUGAUAGUUGGGAAAACCGAGCUAUAGAGCAGCUAAAUGACCAAGGUUAAAGUUAUCUCACAAAUUAUAACAUCUGGGCUUUGGGUCUAACCAGGAGACAACAUGCUUUUUAAAGUUAAACUUUCUGAGAGUCAUUCCUUCCUAUCAUCUGGAAGAGAAGCCACUGAAAGCUUCAUGACCACAAGAGGGCAUGUUGUUUUGCAUUUAACAUCCGACUGCUCUCAGUGCCAGUCACAAUAUCUGAACAGGAUAACUUCAUGCUUAUGUGCAAAUUUAGUAUGAUGGAGGUUCUUCUACCGAAAACUGAAGUAAUUCCACAGUGUGUACAGCAUCUUUACCACUUCUUGUUUUCUGCCUGUGUGUGUUGUGCCUGACCUGAACAGACCACACCUCAAAAGGAGACUAUGAGAGUUAAUUAACCUCUUUAGCCUACUCAGAUUUCUACUGCUCCACUGGUACUGAACAAGCGCCAAUUACUGACAAAAGUGUUGCUGAGUUAUGGGAGACAGGCUAUUGUCUGCUGCACAUGGUACAGGGCUACCAAGGUCAUUUUGAUUGUAUUAUGUAACACAGCUGCUAACAACUGCCAGUUACUUAGAAUGUCUUUGAAAUAGCUCCGUAUCGGUUGGCAAAAUCCUGGAGUCAUCCUUCCCUUUGGAAAGUCAUCAGUGCACUAAGGACAUGGUGACAUGAAGGCUUGAAGAAUAGCAGUGACUUCACAUAAAGUUCUGUUUUAGAAAGAGCGCAGGCUGUUCUGAAUGAAAAACACUAGUAUUAUCUGAGUAAAAGGUGUCAUCGUGCAGGAGUGAAAGAGUUCAGCAAAGGUUAAUUAUGACAUAAAUGAUGUCUUCCUCAGCUGUCUGGGUAAACCCGAGUGGGUGAACUGGCAUGGAGGGAUUGUGAACUGCUAAUGAUGAACUGAUGGUAUAUCCUGGCCUGGAAACACUUCUGAAACAGUUGUGCUCUGCCAAAAAUAUUGAAGGGGGUGCGGCAACAAGAUCUGCUGCUGAGAGGAGCCACCUUGCAAGUGCUGUCUGUCAUUCCUCACGCCCUGGCCAGCUGCGGCACAGCACACCCUUAUCUCCAGCCUGUUGGCAAGAGCAGGGGCAGCUUCUGACUUCACCAAAGCAGGGCUUGGGCCUUCUGCAAGGUCCCUGCAUUUGCUUUCCCGACAUUCUGAAUAUAAAAUGAGCAGAUUAAUUUUUGAA